CAUAAGCAGGACAUUCUCUGAUAUAAAUCAAAGCAAUAUCUCUUUUGAUCCAUCUCCCAGAAUAAUGGAAAUAAAAACAAAAUAAAUGGGACCUAUCAGGGAAUGUUUAACAAGAGGAUUCCUACAUGCUGUUUUUCAUAAAUCCUCUGUUCCUUAUCAGUUUCUGUUGCCAGAAACCAGUGGAACGUCAUGCCACUCCCAGGACUGCGGUCAUAGGAUGAGACAGGCUUGAAUCUCCUUCAGUAAACAUUCUCCUUACGACAAAACUGCUUAGUCUCGAUCCUUUUUCUUGAGAUAUGGAUUGUCUCCUGACCUUGUGACCAUUAUUAAUCCCUUGUUCCCUUGGUAACGGUUGCUGUACGUUUGGUUUUCUGAUCUUUAUCAUUGUCGAAACAAAUUUCUUGUACAACAACCUAUAUAUACUCACAGAAAGAUCAUUAAAGCACCUUUGCUCCAUCAGAGCUUGGGUCUUCGUGUCUUUCUUUCUUUUUUUUCUCUCUCUCUUUCACUUUCUUAUCGUCGACUCCUGACCGCCAGGUUCCGGUCCAUUAAAGGGCCUCAACAAGUGGCGCCAGAACAGGGACUUGGCAUACGUGGCAUUUCGGACGGAGUGACUCCGGGCCUAUUGAGGUCGGGACCUAUUGAGGUCGGUUAUAGAAUGGACAGAUUUAGGACCAAUUGCAUCCACUAAUGAGUCAACACAUAUGCCCCCUCCUUGGAGCUUGGAGGGGCCCUCUCAUCCUGAGGAAGAAGGAAGACUAACAUUUCUCUAGGCUAUGAAAUCCUUCCUUUAUGCAUGGGCCCAACAAAAUGAUGUAUUAAUGUUAGUCGACAAACAUGGGCUUUCAUCCUGCCUCCAAAAAGGAACUUCCACACAUUGCCUGGACUGUUUACUGCCCUGUCCUUUUAUAAAGCCCAUGUCAAUACUACAUGUCAAUACAUACAAAAGUUAGAAUGUAAGGGGUUUACUUAUAAAGACUUUAGAUAUACUCCUGUUUAUUGAGAUAAAUGUCAAGCUAAAUCAGGGAAAUUAAUGUUUAUGGCCAAUUACACAAUUGUUAAUUGGGGACCCCAUAGUAUGUGUGUAUCUAACUGCUCAGAUGAUAUUAACAGCACCAUAUGUGACUAUGCUACUUAAGUAGCAUAGAAGGUUACUAACACUACAAUGGAGCAUUAUCAUGACAAAGGACUUCUUGGGUGGCUUGACGGUGGAAUGGCCGCCCCUCAUCCUUGAAUCAUCCUUGAUAAACAGAUUGGGCCUGAACAAUGGGACGUGUGGAAACUUGCUGUGAGCACCAAAGAACUUGGAACUUGGUCUGGACAUUUCACAGGGACCAAUCGUAGUCAUAGAAACUAUUUCUUAUGUUAUAAUCAAUCAUAUUUCAUACAAGCUUGUGUUCCCCUUCCUUUUGUUCUAGCUAUAGGAAGUUUACAAUUCAAUAAGACUUUAUGUUCUGUAACUUGUAUAAAUUGAAAAUUAUAUACUUGCCUGAACUCUUCUGUUUCCUUAAGAAAUGAAUCCCUUUUGAUUCUUCGAUCUUGAUGUAGUCUGUGGUUACCAAUAAAUCUCCAGCGGCCCUGGGAAGAAGGUCCCAUGGCUGGACUUGCUUCCUGGUUACUUACUAAAUUGCUCCAGCGAUCUAAACGAUUCAUUGGAUGGCUGAUUGUUGGCAUUUUAGGAUUAAUAGCUGUUUGCACCACUGCUGCCGUCACUGGCGUUGCUUUACAAACCUCAAUUCAAACACAUAAUUUUAUCCAAAAUUGGACUAAAGAUGCUCAUACUAUGUGGGCCACUCAGGCUCAGAUAGAUGAGGAUACUCAACAUGAAAUACAGGAACUAAAAACAGCCAUCAAAUGGGUUGGAGAUCAAUUAAUAGACGUACAAAAACAGGUGAUGCUAAAAUGGCAUUGGAAUUCUACUCAGUUUUAAUGUUACUCCUGUUCAAUUCAAUAAUAGCGCCUACAACUGGGAACAAAUCAAAUUUCAUUUACGAAACAUACAUGAUAAUGCUUCUCUGAAUGUACAAUUAUUACAAAAAGAAAUCUUUGAAACCUUUUCUAAAAAUCUGCCCUCUUCCACUAAUUUGAAAACUUUAGCUGAACAACUAGCUGAUCAAUUAUCUGGGCUAGACCCACACAGAUGCAUUAGUCACAGCAUCAGGUCUGGAACUGUAAUUUUGGUGAUUGUCUUGAUAAUUAUAUCUGUCAUUUACCAUUGCCUUCAUGCAAAAAUUGUUAAAACUAAACAAACUCAAAUGGUCAGAACUCUUUUUACAAAUAUUAUAAAUAAAUAAGGGGGAAUUAUCAGGGAAUGUUUAACAGGAGGAUUUCUACAUGCUGUUUCUCAUAAACCCUCUGUUGCUUAUUAGUUUCUGUUGCCAGAAACCAGUGGUAUGGCAUGCCGCUCUCAGGACUGAGGUCAUAGGAUAAGAAAGGCUUGAAUCCCCUUCAGUAAAUAUUCUCCUUAUGACAAAAUUUCUUAGUCUCGAUCCUCUUUCUUGAGAUAUGGAUUGUCUCCUGACCUUGUGACCAUUAUUAAUCCCUUGUUCCCUUGGCAAUGGUUGCUGUACAUUUGGUUUUCUGAUCUUUAUCAUUGUCGAAAGACAUUUCUUGUACAACAGCCUAUAUAUACUCACAGAAAGAUCAUUAAAGCACCUUUGCUCCAUCAGA